rnacentral:rRNA from 1 species
UGAUCAUGGCUCAGAUUGAACGCUGGCGGCAUGGCUAAAACAUGCAAGUCGAACGGGGCCGCAAGGCCCAGUGGCGGAAGGGUGAGUAAUAGUAUCGAAUGUACCCCGAGGUGUGGGAUAGGCAUGGGAAACCGUGCGUAAUACCACAUGAUCUCUGCGGAGCAAAGCUUCGGCGCCUUGGGAGCAGCGAUACACCUAUCAGGUAGUUGGCGGGGUAAUGGCCCACCAAGCCGAAGACGGGUAGCCGGUAUGAGAGUACGGCCGGCCACAUCGGGACUGAGACACUGCCCGGACUCCUACGGGAGGCUGCAGUAACGAAUAUUCCACAAUGCACGAAAGUGUGAUGGAGCAAUGCCGCGUGCGGGAUGAAGCGCCUUUGGCGUGUAAACCGCUGUCAGGGGAUCGAAACACUGAUCAUCCCCAGAGGAAGUGGCGACUAACUCUGUGCCAGCAGUCGCGGUAAUACAGAGGCCACAAGCGUUAAUCGGAAUCACUGGGCUUAAAGGGUGCGUAGGCGGGUUCGUAAGUGCUAUGUGAAAGCCCUCGGCUCAACCGGGGAACUGCAUGGCAUACUGCGAAUCUCGAGGAAUCUAGAGGCCGGCGGAACGAUAGGUGGAGCGGUGGAAUGCGUAGAGAUCUAUCGGAACGCCAAAGGUGAAGACAGCCGGCUGGGGAUUUCCUGACGCUGAGGCACGAAAGCGUGGGGAGCAAACAGGAUUAGAUACCCUGGUAGUCCACGCCCUAAACGAUGCGCAUUAGACCGGUGCAGGUCUGACCCUGUAUUGGUCGUAGAGAAAUUGAUAAAUGCGCCGCCUGGGGAGUACGGUCGCAAGGCUAAAACUCAAAUGAAUUGACGG